rnacentral:rRNA from 1 species
AUUGAACGCUGGCGGCAGGCUUAACACAUGCAAGUCGAGCGAGCGGCGGACGGGUGAGUAAUGUCUGGGAAACUGCCUGAUGGAGGGGGAUAACUACUGGAAACGGUAGCUAAUACCGCAUACCAUCAGAUGUUCCCAGAUGUGAUUAGCUAGUAGGUGGGGUAAUGGCUCACCUAGGCGACGAUCCCUAGCUGGUCUGAGAGGAUGACAAGCAACACUGGAACUGAGAAACGGUCCAGACUCCGACGGGAGGCAGCAGUGGGGAAUAUUGCACAAGGGGGGCAAGCCGGAUGCAGACAGGCCGCGUGGUUGAAGAAGGCCUUCGGGUGGUAAAGCACUUGCAGCGAGGAGGCGUUACUCGCAGAAGAAGCACCGGCUAACUCCGUGCCAGCAGCCGCGGUAAUAC